GUGUUGAUUGAAAGGAGAGAUGGUUGGGGCAUCUCUCCUGACAGGGACAGGAACAUCCUUCGGUCUUACCUAUUACCACACAUACGGUUAAGGCUUCCCACUUAGGUGGAUCUUGCCCAAUUUUACU